rnacentral:tRNA from 1 species
GCUGUGGUGGUUCAGUGGGUAGAAUUCUUGCCUUCCAUGCAGGAGAACUGGGUUCAAUUCCCAGCCAAGGCA